rnacentral:rRNA from 1 species
GGUUAAGCGACUAAGCGUACACGGUGGAUGCCCUGGCAGUCAGAGGCGAUGAAGGACGUGCUAAUCUGCGAAAAGCGUCGGUAAGGUGAUAUGAACCGUUAUAACCGGCGAUGUCCGAAUGGGGAAACCCAGUGCAAUUCGUUGCACUAUCGUUAACUGAAUACAUAGGUUAACGAGGCGAACCGGGGGAACUGAAACAUCUAAGUACCCCGAGGAAAAGAAAUCAACCGAGAUUCCCCCAGUAGCGGCGAGCGAACGGGGAGCAGCCCAGAGUCUGAAUCAGCUUGUGUGUUAGUGGAACGGUCUGGAAAGUCCGACGGUACAGGGUGAUAGUCCCGUACACCAAAAUGCACAGGCUGUGAACUCGAAGAGUAGGGCGGGACACGUGGUAUCCUGUCUGAAUAUGGGGGGGACCAUCCUCCAAGGCUAAAUACUCCUGACUGACCGAUAGUAAACCAGUACCGUGAGGGAAAGGCGAAAAGAACCCCGGCGAGGGGAGUGAAAAAGAACCUGAAACCGUGUACGUACAAGCAGUGGGAGCACCUUCGGGUGUGACUGCGUACCUUUUGUAUAAUGGGUCAGCGACUUAUAUUCUGUAGCAAGGUUAACCGUAUAGGGGAGCCGCAGGGAAACCGAGUCUUAACUGGGCGUUAAGUUGCAGGGUAUAGACCCGAAACCCGGUGAUCUAGCCAUGGGCAGGUUGAAGGUUGGGUAACACUAACUGGAGGACCGAACCGACUAAUGUUGAAAAAUUAGCGGAUGACUUGUGGCUGGGGGUGAAAGGCCAAUCAAACCGGGAGAUAGCUGGUUCUCCCCGAAAGCUAUUUAGGUAGCGCCUCGUGAAUUCAUCUUCGGGGGUAGAGCACUGUUUCGGCUAGGGGGUCAUCCCGACUUACCAACCCGAUGCAAACUACGAAUACCGAAGAAUGUUAUCACGGGAGACACACGGCGGGUGCUAACGUCCGUCGUGAAGAGGAAACAACCCAGACCGCCAGCUAAGGUCCCAAAGUCAUGGUUAAGUGGGAAACGAUGUGGGAAGGCACAGACAGCCAGGAUGUUGGCUUAGAAGCAGCCAUCAUUUAAAGAAAGCGUAAUAGCUCACUGGUCGAGUCGGCCUGCGCGGAAGAUGUAACGGGGCUAAACCAUGCACCGAAGCUGCGGCAGCGACACUAUGUGUUGUUGGGUAGGGGAGCGUUCUGUAAGCCUGCGAAGGUGACCUGUGAGGGUUGCUGGAGGUAUCAGAAGUGCGAAUGCUGACAUAAGUAACGAUAAAGCGGGUGAAAAGCCCGCUCGCCGGAAGACCAAGGGUUCCUGUCCAACGUUAAUCGGGGCAGGGUGAGUCGACCCCUAAGGCGAGGCCGAAAGGCGUAGUCGAUGGGAAACAGGUUAAUAUUCCUGUACUUGGUGUUACUGCGAAGGGGGGACGGAGAAGGCUAUGUUAGCCGGGCGACGGUUGUCCCGGUUUAAGCAUGUAGGCUGGUUGUCCAGGCAAAUCCGGAUAAUCAAGGCUGAGGUGUGAUGACGAGGCACUACGGUGCUGAAGUAACAAAUGCCCUGCUUCCAGGAAAAGCCUCUAAGCAUCAGGUAACAUUAAAUCGUACCCCAAACCGACACAGGUGGUCAGGUAGAGAAUACCAAGGCGCUUGAGAGAACUCGGGUGAAGGAACUAGGCAAAAUGGUGCCGUAACUUCGGGAGAAGGCACGCUGGUGUGUAGGUGAAGUCCCUGCGGAUGGAGCUGAGACCAGUCGAAGAUACCAGCUGGCUGCAACUGUUUAUUAAAAACACAGCACUGUGCAAACACGAAAGUGGACGUAUACGGUGUGACGCCUGCCCGGUGCCGGAAGGUUAAUUGAUGGGGUUAUCCGUAAGGAGAAGCUCUUGAUCGAAGCCCCGGUAAACGGCGGCCGUAACUAUAACGGUCCUAAGGUAGCGAAAUUCCUUGUCGGGUAAGUUCCGACCUGCACGAAUGGCGUAAUGAUGGCCAGGCUGUCUCCACCCGAGACUCAGUGAAAUUGAACUCGCUGUGAAGAUGCAGUGUACCCGCGGCAAGACGGAAAGACCCCGUGAACCUUUACUAUAGCUUGACACUGAACAUUGAGCCUUGAUGUGUAGGAUAGGUGGGAGGCUUUGAAGCGUGGACGCCAGUCUGCGUGGAGCCAACCUUGAAAUACCACCCUUUAAUGUUUGAUGUUCUAACGUUGGCCCCUGACCGGGGUUGCGGACAGUGUCUGGUGGGUAGUUUGACUGGGGCGGUCUCCUCCCAAAGCGUAACGGAGGAGCACGAAGGUUAGCUAAUCCUGGUCGGACAUCAGGAGGUUAGUGCAAUGGCAUAAGCUAGCUUGACUGCGAGCGUGACGGCGCGAGCAGGUGCGAAAGCAGGUCAUAGUGAUCCGGUGGUUCUGAAUGGAAGGGCCAUCGCUCAACGGAUAAAAGGUACUCCGGGGAUAACAGGCUGAUACCGCCCAAGAGUUCAUAUCGACGGCGGUGUUUGGCACCUCGAUGUCGGCUCAUCACAUCCUGGGGCUGAAGUAGGUCCCAAGGGUAUGGCUGUUCGCCAUUUAAAGUGGUACGCGAGCUGGGUUUAGAACGUCGUGAGACAGUUCGGUCCCUAUCUGCCGUGGGCGCUGGAGAAUUGAGGGGGGCUGCUCCUAGUACGAGAGGACCGGAGUGGACGCAUCACUGGUGUUCGGGUUGUCAUGCCAAUGGCACUGCCCGGUAGCUAAAUGCGGAAGAGAUAAGUGCUGAAAGCAUCUAAGCACGAAACUUGCCCCGAGAUGAGUUCUCCCUGAGACUUUAAGUCUCCUGAAGGAACGUUGAAGACGACGACGUUGAUAGGCCGGGUGUGUAAGCGCAGCGAUGCGUUGAGCUAACCGGUACUAAUGAACCGUGAGGCUUAACCUU